rnacentral:misc_RNA from 1 species
AAGUCGUAACAAGGUUUCCGUAGGUGAACCUGCGGAAGGAUCAUUAUCGAGUUCUGACAUGGGUUGUCGCUGGCCUCUCGGGGCAUGUGCACACUCAUUGCUCAUCCACUCACACCUGUGCACACUUGUAGUUGUCUCUGAUCUCUCAAAGGAGCGGAAGCCUUUCAUUGGGUGGAAAGUUCUAGCGAGGGGGAACGGGCUCUACGUUUUUAUACACUCUGCUUAAAGUCUAGAAUGUCAUACUGCUAUAAAACGCAUUUAAAUACAACUUUCAACAACGGAUCUCUUGGCUCUC